AGCUUUGCGCAGUGGCAGUAUCGUAGCCAAUGAGGUUUAUCUGAGGCGCGAUUAUUGCUAAUUGGAGUUGGGAACUAUACUAAGAAAAACAAGAAAAACAAUUCUAUAGAGGAUAAUACUGGGAAACCUUGAAUAUGG